GAGUNCAGAAGGGGAGAGUGGAAUUCCAUGUGUAGCGGUGAAAUGCGUAGAUAUAUGGAGGAACACCAGUGGCGAAAGCGGCUCUCUGGUCUGUCACUGACGCUGAGGCUNGAAAGCGUGGGUAGCGAACAGGAUUAGAUACCCUGGUAGUNCACGCCGUAAACGAUGAGUGCUAGGUGUUAGGCCCUUUCCGGGGCUUAGUGCCGGAGCUAACGCAAUAAGCACUCCGCCUGGGGAGUACGACCGCAAGGUUGAAACUCAAAGGAAUUGACGGGGGCCCGCACAAGCGGUGGAGCAUGUGGUUUAAUUCGAAGCAACGCGAAGAACCUUACCAGGUCUUGACAUCCCGAUGCUAUUCUUAGAGAUAGGAAGUUACUUCGGUACAUCGGAGACAGGUGGUGCAUGGUUGUCGUCAGCUCGUGUCGUGAGAUGUUGGGUUAAGUCCCGCAACGAGCGCAACCCUUAUUGUUAGUUGCCAUCAUUAAGUUGGGCACUCUAGCGAGACUGCCGGUAAUAAACCGGAGGAAGGUGGGGAUGACGUCAAAUCAUCAUGCCCCUUAUGACCUGGGCUACACACGUGCUACAAUGGUCGGUACAAUGAGGUGCGAGCCGGUGACGGCAAGCUAAUCUCUGAAAGCCGAUCUCAGUUCGGAUUGGAGGCUGCAACUCGCCUCCAUGAAGUCGGAAUCGCUAGUAAUCGCGGAUCAGCACGCCGCGGUGAAUACGUUCCCGGGCCUUGUACACACCGCCCGUCACACCACGAGAGUUUGUAACACCCGAAGUCGGUGGGGUAACCUUUUAGGGGCCAGCCGCCUAAGGUGGGANGGA
rnacentral:rRNA from 1 species